GGCUUGCUAGCUAAGCUGUAAAGCGAAACGAUUAGGCUUGGUGUUUUUUGGUGACUGGUGAGGCCCUGCUAGUUGCCAAGUGGCUUGAGAGGCUCUAUCUAUGCAUUGGCGCGAGGGGAUUUUUUGUGGCCACCGAACGUUGUGGCAGGAUGUUGGCCUCUCAGUGACAGUAACCAGAAAAUAGGAAGGGGAGUGACAGGUGAGGCGGCUAGCUCAUGA